UAAAGUGUAGUGUAUAGUAGUGUAGUGUAUUGUAGUGUAAAGUGAAUAUAACUGGUCACAACGGGACCCUUUGUGUUGUGCUUGCUCCUACCUUGCCCUGUCCUCAUCCCUGUCUCUUGUUACCCGCCCUAGGAGCUCCCAACCAUGAACCACCGCGAAUCCGCCUUCAUCGUAACGGUAAUGGUGGUGGCAGUGCACGUGAUGAACUCAGCAAAAAGCCCCAUUCAGCACAUGGCGGCUGUUGAAGGCGAAGAUGUGCUCCUUAACUGUUCAACAUCGUCCACAAUAUACCGAGUGCGAUGGAGAUAUGGACAGUCUAACACAACGAUAUUAUAUUGUAACAUUCAAUCUAUCACAUCCUGCAACCCACUUCUCUGCUACGUGGUUUUCUCUGGGAACCUGAGCAGUGGAAAUGGCUCCAUCACUCUGAUUUCAGUCCCAGCGAACGCGAGUGGAAUGUACCGCUGUUUUCUGGAAACAACCACAGCUGAUCGUCAUGAGAUGGUUUACAAUUUGACAGUAACUUAUCAAGGUAAUGCCACAAAGCUUGAGAUGUAAUGAAACGUCUGCAUAUAUAAAUUCAUAUUAACCAUUCACUCGAUGUAAAUAAACUACACACGUUGUGGUUUUAGUUUGUAACAAUUAUAGUGGUGCAUCGAUUAAUGUCUGAACAUCACAAAACAUUCAUAUUAUGUGUGUAAACAAGAAUCAAUUGUAUACCUGCAUGCCUGUGUUCUAUGUAUUCAGCUCAUUUUUCUCCGAAAAUACUAGAGGCCGCUUCAUUCACAACAAUGUAAAGAAAAUAGAUUCCAGAAUAAAAUCACAAUCCUUGAAUCGCAACAAUGCAUGAUACUAUUAAUCUUAACCAUAACAAAUGUUUUUUUUCUCUCUCCCAAUGUUGACUCAGAUGCACUGUAAAAUCUCAAACUAGCUCAGGCAGCUUGG